UGCGUAACGCGUAUAGAAUCUGCCUUACACUGAGGGAUUAGCUUUGGAAACGAAGAUUAAUACCUCAUAGUAUCAUUGAAUGGCAUCAUUUAGUGAUUAAAGGUUACGGUGUAAGAUGACUAUGCGUCCUAUUAGCUUGUUGGUAAGGUAACGGCUUACCAAGGCAACGAUAGGUAGGGGCCCUGAGAGGGGGAUCCCCCACACUGGUACUGAGACACGGACCAGACUCCUACGGGAGGCAGCAGUGAGGAAUAUUGGACAAUGGAGGCAACUCUGAUCCAGCCAUGCCGCGUGAAGGAUGACUGCCCUAUGGGUUGUAAACUUCUUUUAUACAGGAAGAAACGGUUCUACGUGUAGAGCUUUGACGGUACUGUAUGAAUAAGCACCGGCUAACUCCGUGCCAGCAGCCGCGGUAAUACGGAGGGUGCAAGCGUUAUCCGGAAAUCAUUGGGUUUAAAGGGUCCGUAGGCGGAUUAAUAAGUCAGAGGUGAAAUCCCGCAGCUCCACUGUGGAACUGCCUUUGAACUGUUAGUCUUGAGUUAUUGUGAAGUGGUUAGAAUAUGUAGUG
rnacentral:rRNA from 1 species